GCGCCUAUAGCUCAGUUGGAUAGAGUGUUGGUUUCCGAAACCAAAGGCCGGAGGUUCAAUUCCUCCUAGGCGCGCCA
rnacentral:tRNA from 1 species